AGCAUAUCAAUAAGCGGAGGAAAAGAAACUAACAAGGAUUCCCCUAGUAACGGCGAGUGAAGCGGGAAGAGCUCAAAUUUGAAAUCUGGUGGACUUCGUUCAUCCGAGUUGUAAUCUAGAGAAGCGUUUUCCGUGCCGGCCAAUGUACAAGUCCCUUGGAACAGGGCGUCAUGGAGGGUGAGAAUCCCGUACUUGACAUUGAUCACCGGUGCUCUGUGAUACACUUUCAGAGAGUCGAGUUGUUUGGGAAUGCAGCUCAAAAUGGGUGGUAAAUUCCAUCUAAAGCUAAAUAUUGGCGAGAGACCGAUAGCGAACAAGUACCGUG
rnacentral:rRNA from 1 species